rnacentral:rRNA from 1 species
ACGGAAUAGAGGGCAACUCCUAUUCAGUGGCGGAAGGGUUAGUAAUACAUGGGUAAUCUACCUUUAACUUUGGAAUAACGAUUGGAAACGAUCGCUAAUACCAAAUGUGGUGAUGAGAGAUAACUUUCAUUCAUUAAAGUGGGGGAUCGCAAGACCUCGCGGUUAAAGAAGAGCCCAUGCGAUAUCAGCUAGUUGGUGAGGUAAAGGCUCACCAAGG